rnacentral:lncRNA from 1 species
UGUGUAUUUCCGCGGCUUCCUUCAGGUGUGAUCGCCACUAGCAAGUCUGCCCAGGAGAGCCGAGACUGACUUCCUCCCUCCCUUCACCUCCCUGUGCCUCUUGAAUUAAGUUCUCCUUUGUCUUUGGGAAAAGCAAAGCCAGAAAGACUCCCUCUCAUCUCCUUCCUCACUCCCUGGACAAAGGAGCCCAAAGGACGCAGGUGUGGGGAGAGAAGGGAAGGAAAGGGCAAAUACCCCGGAAUAUUACCCAAUGCAAUAAAGUGACAGAUAACAUGCUCUCAUUCCCUCCCAAGCACCUGGGCCUUACCUACUGUAAUCACACGCGUCUAACGGUCAGGGAAAAUUGUGGUUCAAACAGGCAAGGUCUCCAGCCCAAGGUCACACAGCCCGUACCAGGUAGAUCCUGCCCGUGGUUUCCUCCUGUCUUCGUGAGUACAUAUAGAGGUACUUAUGGUCCACCUCAAGUAAUUUGCUGGCUUCCAAAUAACAUGAAAUGUGAGAAAGAAGGAAGAAUAAUUUUUAGAGCCCAAAAUAGGUUGUUGGGUAUUUAAAAUAGUUAACAUACGUGUUUUAAUAUGACCUCCACGAAGAGAAUUUACUAUGAAAAA